rnacentral:rRNA from 1 species
AGUCUGACGGAGCAACGCCGCGUGAGUGAUGAAGGUUUUCGGAUCGUAAAGCUCUGUUGUUAGGGAAGAACAAGUACCGUUCGAAUAGGGCGGUACCUUGACGGUACCUAACCAGAAAGCCACGGCUAACUACGUGCCAGCAGCCGCGGUAAUACGUAGGUGGCAAGCGUUGUCCGGAAUUAUUGGGCGUAAAGCGCGCGCAGGUGGUUCCUUAAGUCUGAUGUGAAAGCCCACGGCUCAACCGUGGAGGGUCAUUGGAAACUGGGGAACUUGAGUGCAGAAGAGGAAAGUGGAAUUCCAAGUGUAGCGGUGAAAUGCGUAGAUAUUUGGAGGAACACCAGUGGCGAAGGCGACUUUCUGGUCUGUAACUGACACUGAGGCGCGAAAGCGUGGGGAGCAAACAGGAUUAGAUACCCUGGUAGUCCACGCCGUAAACGAUGAGUGCUAAGUGUUAGGGGGUUUCCGCCCCUUAGUGCUGCAGCUAACGCAUUAAGCACUCCGCCUGGGGAGUACGGUCGCAAGACUGAAACUCAAAGGA